rnacentral:rRNA from 1 species
UACGAAGGGGACUAGCGUUGUUCGGAAUUACUGGGCGUAAAGCGCGCGUAGGCGGAUCGCUAAGUCAGGGGUGAAAUCCUGGAGCUCAACUCCAGAACUGCCUUUGAUACUGAGGAUCUUGAGUUCGGGAGAGGUGAGUGGAACUGCGAGUGUAGAGGUGAAAUUCGUAGAUAUUCGCAAGAACACCAGUGGCGAAGGCGGCUCACUGGCCCGAUACUGACGCUGAGGCACGAAAGCGUGGGGAGCAAACAGG